rnacentral:rRNA from 1 species
AGCAGCCGCGGUAAUUCCAGCUCCAAUAGCGUAUAUUAAAGUUGUUGCAGUUAAAAAGCUCGUAGUUGAAUUUCGGGAUCAAAUUGUCGGUCGUGCCUCGGUACGCACUGGUAUUAUUGGUUCCUACCUUCUGAAGAACCGCGAUGUCAUUAAUUUGGUGUCGUGGGGAAUCAGGACUGUUACUUUGAAAAAAUUAGAGUGUUUAAAGCAGGCUUACGCUUGAAUACAUUAGCAUGGAAUAAUGAAAUAGGACGUUUGAUUCUAUUUUGUUGGUUUCUAGGAUUGACGUAAUGAUUAAUAGGGAUAGUUGGGGGCAUUAGUAUUCAAUUGUCAGAGGUGAAAUUCUUGGAUUUAUUGAAGACUAACUACUGCGAAAGCAUUUGCCAAGGAUGUUUUCAUUAAUCAAGAACGAAAGUUAGGGGAAUCGAAGACGAUCAGAUACCGUCGUAGUCUUAACCAUAAACUAUGCCGACUAGGGAUCGGAUGAUGUUAAUUUUUUAAUGUACUCAUUCGGCGCCUU